rnacentral:rRNA from 1 species
AGCGAACGCUGGCGGCAGGCCUAACACAUGCAAGUCGAACGGAUCCUUCGGGAUUAGUGGCGGACGGGUGAGAAACACGUGGGAACGUGCCCUUUGGUUCGGAACAACUCAGGGAAACUUGAGCUAAUACCGGAUGUGCCCUUCGGGGGAAAGAUUUAUCGCCAUUGGAGCGGCCCGCGUCUGAUUAGCUAGUUGGUGAGGUAACGGCCCACCAAGGCGACGAUCAGUAGCUGGUCUGAGAGGAUGAUCAGCCACACUGGGACUGAGACACGGCCCAGACUCCUACGGGAGGCAGCAGUGGGGAAUCUUGCGCAAUGGGCGAAAGCCUGACGCAGCCAUGCCGCGUGAAUGAUGAAGGUCUUAGGAUUGUAAAAUUCUUUCAGCGGGGACGAUAAUGACGGUACCCGCAGAAGAAGCCCCGGCUAACUUCGUG